GAGGAAUAUUGGUCAAUGGGCGCAAGCCUGAACCAGCCAUCCCGCGUGAAGGAAGAAUGCGCUACGCGUUGUAAACUUCUUUUCCAGGGGGAGAAUAAUCCUGUCGUGACAGGACUUGACGGUACUCUGGGAAUAAGCAUCGGCUAACUCCGUGCCAGCAGCCGCGGUAAUACGGAGGAUGCGAGCGUUAUCCGGAUUUAUUGGGUUUAAAGGGUGCGUAGGCGGAUUGAUAAGUCAGUGGUGAAAUUCUACAGCUUAACUGUAGACUUGCCGUUGAUACUGUUAGUCUUGAGUGUGGUCAAGGCAGGCGGAAUGUGUAAUGUAGCGGUGAAAUGCUUAGAUAUUACACAGAACACCGAUUGCGAAGGCAGCUUGCUGGGUCAUUACUGACGCUGAUGCACGAAAGCGUGGGGAUCAAAC
rnacentral:rRNA from 1 species